GGUUAAGCGACUAAGCGUACACGGUGGAUGCCCUGGCAGUCAGAGGCGAUGAAGGACGUGCUAAUCUGCGAAAAGCGUCGGUAAGGUGAUAUGAACCGUUAUAACCGGCGAUGUCCGAAUGGGGAAACCCAGUGCAAUUCGUUGCACUAUCGUUAACUGAAUACAUAGGUUAACGAGGCGAACCGGGGGAACUGAAACAUCUAAGUACCCCGAGGAAAAGAAAUCAACCGAGAUUCCCCCAGUAGCGGCGAGCGAACGGGGAGCAGCCCAGAGUCUGAAUCAGCUUGUGUGUUAGUGGAACGGUCUGGAAAGUCCGACGGUACAGGGUGAUAGUCCCGUACACCAAAAUGCACAGGCUGUGAACUCGAAGAGUAGGGCGGGACACGUGGUAUCCUGUCUGAAUAUGGGGGGACCAUCCUCCAAGGCUAAAUACUCCUGACUGACCGAUAGUGAACCAGUACCGUGAGGGAAAGGCGAAAAGAACCCCGGCGAGGGGAGUGAAAAAGAACCUGAAACCGUGUACGUACAAGCAGUGGGAGCACCUUCGGGUGUGACUGCGUACCUUUUGUAUAAUGGGUCAGCGACUUAUAUUCUGUAGCAAGGUUAACCGUAUAGGGUAGCCGCAGGGAAACCGAGUCUUAACUGGGCGUUAAGUUGCAGGGUAUAGACCCGAAACCCGGUGAUCUAGCCAUGGGCAGGUUGAAGGUUGGGUAACACUAACUGGAGGACCGAACCGACUAAUGUUGAAAAAUUAGCGGAUGACUUGUGGCUGGGGGUGAAAGGCCAAUCAAACCGGGAGAUAGCUGGUUCUCCCCGAAAGCUAUUUAGGUAGCGCCUCGUGAACUCAUCUUCGGGGGUAGAGCACUGUUUCGGCUAGGGGGUCAUCCCGACUUACCAACCCGAUGCAAACUACGAAUACCGAAGAAUGUUAUCACGGGAGACACACGGCGGGUGCUAACGUCCGUCGUGAAGAGGGAAACAACCCAGACCGCCAGCUAAGGUCCCAAAGUCAUGGUUAAGUGGGAAACGAUGUGGGAAGGCACAGACAGCCAGGAUGUUGGCUUAGAAGCAGCCAUCAUUUAAAGAAAGCGUAAUAGCUCACUGGUCGAGUCGGCCUGCGCGGAAGAUGUAACGGGGCUAAACCAUGCACCGAAGCUGCGGCAGCGACACUAUGUGUUGUUGGGUAGGGGAGCGUUCUGUAAGCCUGCGAAGGUGACCUGUGAGGGUUGCUGGAGGUAUCAGAAGUGCGAAUGCUGACAUAAGUAACGAUAAAGCGGGUGAAAAGCCCGCUCGCCGGAAGACCAAGGGUUCCUGUCCAACGUUAAUCGGGGCAGGGUGAGUCGACCCCUAAGGCGAGGCCGAAAGGCGUAGUCGAUGGGAAACAGGUUAAUAUUCCUGUACUUGGUGUUACUGCGAAGGGGGGACGGAGAAGGCUAUGUUAGCCGGGCGACGGUUGUCCCGGUUUAAGCAUGUAGGCUGGUUAUCCAGGCAAAUCCGGAUAAUCAAGGCUGAGGUGUGAUGACGAGGCACUACGGUGCUGAAGUAACAAAUGCCCUGCUUCCAGGAAAAGCCUCUAAGCAUCAGGUAACACGAAAUCGUACCCCAAACCGACACAGGUGGUCAGGUAGAGAAUACCAAGGCGCUUGAGAGAACUCGGGUGAAGGAACUAGGCAAAAUGGUGCCGUAACUUCGGGAGAAGGCACGCUGGUGUGUAGGUGAAGCCCCUGCGGGUGGAGCUGAGACCAGUCGAAGAUACCAGCUGGCUGCAACUGUUUAUUAAAAACACAGCACUGUGCAAACACGAAAGUGGACGUAUACGGUGUGACGCCUGCCCGGUGCCGGAAGGUUAAUUGAUGGGGUUAUCCGUAAGGAGAAGCUCUUGAUCGAAGCCCCGGUAAACGGCGGCCGUAACUAUAACGGUCCUAAGGUAGCGAAAUUCCUUGUCGGGUAAGUUCCGACCUGCACGAAUGGCGUAAUGAUGGCCAGGCUGUCUCCACCCGAGACUCAGUGAAAUUGAACUCGCUGUGAAGAUGCAGUGUACCCGCGGCAAGACGGAAAGACCCCGUGAACCUUUACUAUAGCUUGACACUGAACAUUGAGCCUUGAUGUGUAGGAUAGGUGGGAGGCUUUGAAGCGUGGACGCCAGUCUGCGUGGAGCCAACCUUGAAAUACCACCCUUUAAUGUUUGAUGUUCUAACGUUGGCCCCUUACCGGGGUUGCGGACAGUGUCUGGUGGGUAGUUUGACUGGGGCGGUCUCCUCCCAAAGCGUAACGGAGGAGCACGAAGGUUAGCUAAUCCUGGUCGGACAUCAGGAGGUUAGUGCAAUGGCAUAAGCUAGCUUGACUGCGAGCGUGACGGCGCGAGCAGGUGCGAAAGCAGGUCAUAGUGAUCCGGUGGUUCUGAAUGGAAGGGCCAUCGCUCAACGGAUAAAAGGUACUCCGGGGAUAACAGGCUGAUACCGCCCAAGAGUUCAUAUCGACGGCGGUGUUUGGCACCUCGAUGUCGGCUCAUCACAUCCUGGGGCUGAAGUAGGUCCCAAGGGUAUGGCUGUUCGCCAUUUAAAGUGGUACGCGAGCUGGGUUUAGAACGUCGUGAGACAGUUCGGUCCCUAUCUGCCGUGGGCGCUGGAGAAUUGAGGGGGGCUGCUCCUAGUACGAGAGGACCGGAGUGGACGCAUCACUGGUGUUCGGGUUGUCAUGCCAAUGGCACUGCCCGGUAGCUAAAUGCGGAAGAGAUAAGUGCUGAAAGCAUCUAAGCACGAAACUUGCCCCGAGAUGAGUUCUCCCUGAGACUUUAAGUCUCCUGAAGGAACGUUGAAGACGACGACGUUGAUAGGCCGGGUGUGUAAGCGCAGCGAUGCGUUGAGCUAACCGGUACUAAUGAACCGUGAGGCUUAACCUU
rnacentral:rRNA from 1 species